GCUCACAGAUCUUGAUGAACAGGUCCAAGAGGAUCAAUGGAAGACUCUCAUUCAGUUUUAGAACUCUGAAGGGGGGAAGGUUCGUUCUAAAAAAAAUAAAGAGAAUCGGAAGAAACAAUUGAUUAACCACGCGGCAGGCUCGAAGAGUUUUGCGCGAAUACAUGAGGAAGAGAGGAAAAAGGCCAAUGGGGAGGAUCUGAUCCGGGUAGAUAUGUUUAUCUUGACUCAUACAUGCAAAGAUAGAAAGCUUGUGGAUGAGGCCUCAUCAGUAAUAAUGACAAAACUCAAUGAAGAAAUAUCUCAGCAACCCAGGGCCUCACAGAGUAGCACGGUAAGGAAUGAUCUAUUAUCUCAAGUCAUGGGAGAAGAGAAGUAUGGUCAUGUCCGCACUUAUGGGUUAGGACCAUCUCCAUCUGAUUUGUGGGGUGCAACAUCCAGCUAACAAAGGAUGGCUUCCAUUGAUCAGAGGAGAGAUGAAAGAUAUAAGGAACUACAUGCUGAUAUAGUCUCUCUUAAAGAAAAUAUAGCUGCACUCUCAUCCUCAAGAGAAGCUGAAAUGUCAUCCCUUAAAGAAACUAUGGUUGAAAUCUCAUCCGCAAGAGAUGUUGAAAUUUCUUUCUUGAAAGAAACUCUGAUGAAAUUGAUAGCCACUAUAAAUAAUGCAAACAAUAACCCACCCACAGUAUUUGGUGUUGCAGUUAGUUCUAACAUGAACCAACCGUCCUCAUCAUCAAGCCAUUGGGUGACCUCUUGGGUAAUUAUAUUAUAUACAUGUAUUUAUUUACAUAUGCACUAUGUCCUAGAUUAUAUAUAGUUUAGUUGGUAUAUAAUGAUUGAUAUUGAUUUAUCAUUUGCAAAAACACUCGACGAAUAAGGGGAAUACCACGAGUUGCACUAGU